rnacentral:rRNA from 1 species
CAGUAACGGCGAGUGAAGCGGCAACAGCUCAAAUUUGAAAUCUGGCUCCUUCGGGGUCCGAAUUGUAAUUUGCAGAGAGUGCUUCGGGCGAGACCUCGGUCUAAGUCCAUUGGAACAUGGUGUCAUAGAGGGUGAGAAUCCCGUAUGCGACCGUGGCUCGAGCCCAUGUGAAGCCUCUUCGACGAGUCGAGUUGUUUGGGAAUGCAGCUCAAAAUGGGUGGUAAAUUUCAUCUAAAGCUAAAUACUGGCUGGAGACCGAUAGCGCACAAGUAGAGUGAUCGAAAGAUGAAAAGCACUUUGGAAAGAGAGUCAAACAGUACGUGAAAUUGUUGAAAGGGAAGCGCUUGCAACCAGACCUGCCCGUAGGCGAUCAGCCGCUGUUCUCAGCGGUGUACUCGCUCUGCGAUCAGGCCAGCAUCGGUUUCGGCGGUCGGAUAAAGGCCUUGGGAAUGUAGCUUCCCUUCGGGGGAGUCUUAUAGCCCUCGGUGUAAUGCGGCCAGCUGGGACCGAGGACCGCGCUUCGGCUAGGAUGCUGGCGUAAUGGUUGUAAGCGACCCGUCUUGAAACACGGACCAAGGAGUCUAACAUCUAUGCGAGUGUUUGGGUGUCAAACCCAUACGCGGAAUGAAAGUGAACGGAGGUGAGAACCCUUAAGGGCGCAUCAUCGACCGAUCCAGAUGUCUUCGGAUGGAUUUGAGUAUGAGCAUAGCUGUUGGGACCCGAAAGAUGGUGAACUAUGCCUGAAUAGGGUGAAGCCAGAGGAAACUCUGGUGGAGGCUCGCAGCGGUUCUGACGUGCAAAUCGAUCGUCAAAUUUGGGUAUAGGGGCGAAAGACUAAUC